rnacentral:lncRNA from 1 species
UCAGAUUAAAUGGAAUGCUACACAAAUUUUAACUUUCACUUAUCAACCUUCUUCCUUCCUGGGCUCCUUUCUCUUCUCUGAGGGGCCCUUUUGGAGGCUUGCAUUGGGAAGGAUCUUGAACAAUACGAUAAGAAUUUUUAACUUUGUCCUAAAGAUUAUGAGAAGCAGGAGAGUCAGGAACAGAUUCCAGGACUUGGAAUCUUGGCCUCUUCAUUGCUAUCUUCCACUCUGUCUAACAAACCCUGUUGUAGCCUGCCCUGGAAAUCCCAUCUUAUCAAGACUUAGAGACAAACAAAAGCUGAAAGAAUUCAUCACCAGAAGUCAUCACUAUGAGAAAUAUUACGGGAAGUCCUGCAGCCAGAAGGAAAAUGAAACCAGAUGGAAAUAUGGAUCCUCACAAUGGAAUGAGAAAUACCAGAAAUGGCAACUACAUGGGUAAAUGUGC